rnacentral:rRNA from 1 species
UACGUAGGGGGCAAGCGUUAUCCGGAAUCACUGGGUGUAAAGGGAGCGUAGACGGCUGAGCAAGCCUGAAGUGAAAGGCGGGGGCCCAACCCCUGGACUGCUUUGGGAACUGUACGGCUGGAGUGCAGGAGAGGCAGGCGGAAUUCCUGGUGUAGCGGUGAAAUGCGUAGAUAUCAGGAGGAACACCGGUGGCGAAGGCGGCCUGCUGGACUGCAACUGACGUUGAGGCCCGAAAGCGUGGGGAGCAAACAGG